GGAAGUGGACGCGGCGAAGCAGAGAAUCGAUGGGAAAGUGCGGAGGAAAGGAAGCAGCUACUGAGAGGGGCUGGAGAACCCGCCUGGUUUCCAAUACUGUGCUACGUUUCUCUUCAGCAGUGGGGACAUUUUAGACGAGUGGAAGCUGGUGGCGUUCCGUGGACAGUGUAUGGCCAGACGUCCUCUCUUAUUUCUGCCCCCUGCCCUGUCACCUUCCCGGACCACGCGACGCCCUGUUUGCUCCAGAGAAACAGGCAGCUCUCAUCCUUCAGGAGCAUGCUGUUGGCCUCAGUGGGUAGGUGGCUAAGAGCUACAGAGGCCAUGUGUCAGGGGUAAAAGGGUGUUCGCUGCUGGGGACACCACACACUGCGCCAGGUUGAGGGGUCUGUUGAUGUGGAGAUGAAGCUCAAACAGCGCAUGGUGGUACUGUGCGCCGUGCUCCUCCUGCUGGGCCUGGCUAAGAUCUUCCUGCUGGAUGGAGGCGAGGGUUCUGCAGCUAGUCGCCGUGACCUGAGAGCAUUUCGCAAGAUGGAAGCUAGCCUUUCUCUCUCCCGAGGGCUCGCCUCACUCACACCCUCCAGUCUCCGUGGGAGAUAGCGAGCCAGUGGGUGGGUCCUCGAGAGGUGUACCCAGAGGAGACUCCAGAGCUGGCUGCUGUCCUCACCUGCCUCAGCACUGCCAGGAUAGAACGGGCAGAUGUGGGCUAUAAGGGUACACAGCUUAAAGCACUGUUGGUGUUGGAUGGGGUCAGAAAGUUGUCUUCAAACCCAAGAGAUAUAACAGAGACUAUGUGGUUGAAGGUGAACCGUAUGCAGGUUAUGACAGACACAACGCAGAAGUGGCAGCUUUUCACUUGGACAG